UUUCUUUUUUUUUCAGGUUUUUUUGUACUGUGUUGUUGGUGGGAUGUCACUGUCUGGAAGCAUUGGAAUUCCACUUCCGACGUGGUUUCGGACAAAACUUCAAGUCAGUCCAAGAGUGGUGCUACCAGUUAAAAAGAACAAUUGGUAUCGACCAAAUGAUUUUAUUUCAUCCAAUGAAAACCUAUAAAAUGCACCUCAAAACAAAGUUCAGGCCAUGUUGUACCAGGAAACCAAAAUCGGUAAAAACUUUCAGAAAAAACGUGGUCGGAAACGUGGAUAAAAAACGAGCAUCGGACCGGAAGGAAACGGACGGACAAACGAAUGCGACAAAGUAUAUCAGAAAAUCGAACAGAGGAUGACCACCUAGCAGAACAAAUAUACACCGCUAUAACACUAUUGUGCAGUGUUUGCAAGGUUUCUAAAACUGCUGUGCUGGAGCAACAAAACCAGUGGUACGAGUACGACAACAGAUCCCAUUGGCCUAUUCACUCAGGGUAACAAAGGAAAUUUGCUCAACAUAUGCGACCGGGCACUAACUGUCGACGCCGAGGAACUCUGUGAAGCUUGGGUAUUGGGGCUCCCACCCGAUAUCGGCCCGGGUUUUGGAAUUCUCCAUCCUUUUCCCCAACGGACCAUCGGUACCUGAAGAGAAGGUGGAUUCAAGAUUAUUUAUUACUACAAGAAACGGUGAUGUAUGCGCACCGAAACACUUCACACGCCGGAGCAGGAAGGAAACUAACCAGUGAAACCUUGGAAUUCCGUGUCGAACUUCCCACUUUUGUUAACAGCGUCCAUUAUUUCCUUCCUGCAAAGUUCAAAUUCAUGCAUUUUAAUUGAAACCCGUUCAGCUAUCAGUAGAGCCAUGACACACCGACAGAAGCGAGCUAGAUGAAUACCAGUUGAUGUAAAGAAGCAGCUUAGCACUAACCUGGAAAGAGGCUUAUUGUCACAGCCCAAAAAUAUACGACCCCGAGUUCUCUUUUUCAUUAUGGCAAUUGCAAGAGACGCUGCAUCCUGAGAAUAUAUAAAAUAACAUUACAACUCACAUGAUGCAGAUUGAUGUGACAUAUUUUGCUUAAUAAAUCAAUAAAGUUGUUUCUGUUUGUUUGAUCUGCCGUGCUUCGCUUAAUAAAACAAUAAAGUAGGAUCGUUUGCUAUGAUAAGACUGAAUUUUUUUAUAUAAAAGGAUGAAUCUGGGGUAAAUUUCUAUGCUCAUUUAACCUCAUAAUGUAUCUGAUUAAUAAUAUGGUCUGGCCGCGAGUCCAGUGUUCCCUUCCUCAACCAGAAAUAAUGAGCACCUCUAUCUAUUUUGUGUGUCUAAGUCAAGGAAAUACUGUAUGAGUUAUAUUCAUCUUAUAUUGUAUAAAAGCUCUAUGUUCAUGCUUGCAAUUUUAAACAGCCAAUAUGCAUAGGUGGAGGAUAUAUAAAGUCCUGCUAGCCUGAGAACACAGCCUCCUGCCUCCAGAACAACAUUUUCUGCUCUAAGAAGAACAUCAGUACGAGGACCCCUGCCCACGGGAAUAGAUGGACAAUCCUGCACAAUGAAGAGAAAAAACAUGGUAAAAACAAUUAAAAUAAAAUUCAGAAAAUAUUAGGAGCUAGUUGUGUGUUUCUAGGCAAGAAAUGCUUGUACUCCCAAACUACAACAAAUCUGAAGCUGCAUACUAUAUUAGACGUGUAAAUUUCUCUUUUCAUUUAGCGGAGCUUUUAUCACCCAAAAGAGCAACAACUGGUAGACACCUAUGAGAAUAUGCAGUCUAGCAGUAAUACCUCAUUGCACAAUCUGUUGUCGCUACAGUCAUAAAGAGCAGUACUCGACGUAAACAGGAAAGAACCUUCUCCGUUCCAAUUUGAGGCGGCCACUCUGCAUGCAUUUUCUGAAAUGAGGGUACAUCACAUGCCCAUGAUAUGCAAUUUGUUUAGCAUAAGAUAGAUCAUAGAUGCACACUGCACAGUAUCACAGCGAAACUAGUCUAGUUACUUUCUAACAGUUCAUUGAGAUGCAGAACUUUGCAUUUUUCCUACAAAGCUAGUGUAAUUCAUUAACAAUGGAAAAAAUCCUACUAACCAAAUUGAUGAUGCACAGGGGUGUGUUGACAUCAGAAAAAAGGUUGGUGGCACCCAUCUGCAUAUAAUACUAGUAAUAACAGAUCCUUACAGAAAAACUGUCCACUAGUCCAUCGAACAGUUUUUGGUAAAUCAUAAAAUCUUAGCCCUGGUGGAGUUAGUUGUUCCAAGCACAGUGCACAUCUAAAAUACAGUACUUAACUAAAAAAAUUACAAUAUGAAGUCCCAUAGCAGUAUGUACACACGUAGCUGUAUUAGAAUCAAGAUAAGAUCACCUAAUUUAUUUACAAAUACCAAAAGACCAGAAAGUCCUGGAUCAAGCAUGUUACACCACACAUUUCCCUCGGCUACUCCGUACAGCACUAUGAUACUGACAUUGCCAAUAUUAAAUCUGACACAUCCAUUACUACAGAUUAAAUUGCACUUCUACAGUGACCAUCUCCAUAAUAUCUGACCAGCCAUCAUCUCAGAUUGUCUACCAGCUUGAUUCACUCACAUUUGAUGCCACCAUCAAAGACCAUACAUACAUACAUCAAACAUUAAUGUCAUUAUGUCAAUGUGUUCAUCUUAACCAAUGUUCACUAUGGUUCAUGUGCCCUAAGGUUCAUAUCAGCAAUUAAACUUCCAUACUUCAAAGGAUUCAGUUUCCACAUGGAUGUGGGAUCUCAGCCCAAACUGCCCAGCCAUCAGGCAGUGACCACAAACUGGAGAUUGGUACCAAAUCUACUGCAUGGAGCCAUCAUUACAAUCACACUUGCUUACCUCAAAUCGCCAGGGUAAUCAUCAGAACGAGAUGGAGGAGCGCAGAAAAUAACAUAUGGAGCCUUUUGAGAGAUAGUGGAUCCCUUCAAGGAGGGAAUGAUGCCAAUAUCGGUUAGCUCGCUGUGAUGGUCUGUGCUUGCGGUCUGGCCAAAAACUUUGCAGCCUGGGUGUUCCUAUAGAAGGCGAGGUUGAGUACUUAAUUAGCCAAGACAUGAUUAUGUCAAACAGGUUGAUGUCAGAAAGUGGUUCUUUAGGCACGGGUAUUCAUACCUUUAGCCACUUCUCGGCUACCAGUCGCCCAAGCACACCUGGGCCGACGAUGAGUAGAUCGUUCUGGGUAACAAUGUCGGCACCGGGCAUUGUGACCCCUGUAUCUUGCGAUACCCCUAGCAGCAACAAAGAAGAAAAUGUAAAAGGUAGCUUAGUUGCACGCAUCGUUGUGGAAAGAACUCGACAUCUGGAGAUCAAGAGGGUGAACCUAGAGCCUCCAUCGGUCAUAUAUAUAACUUUCAGCACAUAGUAGCUAGAUAGCUUAAUUUACCAGGUACUGAAAUCUGCUACCCUUUGAUAAAUCGCUCAUUCCACCAUGACUGAAGGCCAUAAAUUGCCACAUACAGGUCAGGUGAAGUAGCUACUAGCUGAUGUCCAUCGGCGCUUUAUAUGAGACAAGCAAUAAUGCGCGACCUCGGAACCAAACUAGUAUAAACUAGUUGAUUUCAAUGGGAUAAAAAUAGUCAUAGUGAUAGCUAUAACACUUGUAAUUUGGAACUGACAGGAAUGAAUUUCAGAGGUGGGCACAGCAGCUCAACAGUGUAACUGGAGCGGAGCUGGAAGCGGAUUGCUAUCCAAUGGCACGAGCGAGCGAGUUCAUGGAAGGCGGGCAGCGCAAGGAACAGAAAGGGGUAAAAGACAAGGGUCGGCCAGAGAGUUACCGAGGGCGGCGGCGGCGACAGGCGCGCGGCGGGCUAGCGAGAGGAGCCGAGCUGGACGGCCGGCGGUCGGGGUGAGGGGCCUCACGGAGGAGGGGCGGGAGGCGGGGAGACGGAGGGUUGGGGUCCGGGUGGGAACCAGGGCGGCGGCGACGGCGACAUCCAUAUUUGUCGUCGGCCGUCGUGGAGAGCUGGGACGGGGAUGGAAAUUGGAUCGGUUGACGAGGAUAAUGGUGGCGACUUUGGGUUGGGCCGGGCCGAGUUUCCUGGAUGUUGCCAUGCCAAAAACGGAACCAGGGCCCAUUCGACCAGGUCAGUUGAACUGACUGCCUCAAAAAAAACAACAGUUGAACUGACUGCCUAUACAUGUACAGUACAAUUUUCUCCAAAUAAUAACAAUAAUAAUAAUAAUAAUAUACACUUCCAGAAGGACCAGGUCACCUUUUAUUGUAGUACUUGGGAAAGUGCUCCCAUGUUUUACACACAUGUCAUGGACUGGUUGCAUUGAUCGGUACAAGUAUACAAACACAAAAACUAAGAUAGCUGCUUGACAGCAUUUCAUCAUCAGUACUAAGGAAACAAAUAGCUACAUACUGCUACCCCGACUCCUAUAACUCCCAUCAUCUCGACCGUGCUAGAAGGGAUUUGCGCGGCUUGAGAUGAAGCAGCCGUCGAUCAACCUAUCCUUUGUCGUGCCGUGCAACAUGCUUCCCUUCCCUCUGACUCGGAUUCUGCCGGCCGUUCCGGCGUUCCUUCUCACCGGACAAUCUUUCCUGACAUAUGUGUUUUCCACCUUCAGAAGAGCACGGAACCGCCCACAACAAGUCACCUGCAAAUAAACAGCUUGAGAGUUGAGUACAUAGUCAUAUUCAAAGUUUCAAACGCUCCAGUCCAAGGAUGGCUACUUCAGUUUCUUGCUCAAACAUUGAUGGGCUGACACAAGCAACUGAGACAAAGCAAAACGCACUGACACGGCAUGCAUGAUUGAUUGGCAGGAGAUUCGCCCGGACCAGCCCAGCCCGUAGAGAAACACAGACCCGUCUUGCUUGCCUUCGUCCGAGGAAUCACCUGCAGGGAUCGCUUCCUACUCGAAUUCGGCCGCGACAAGAGAGAGCAGCGACGCUCGCUGUCUUGAUCAUCACGGCCGUGCUCGAGACACGGGAGCCACAUGAGACUCCACGCGGCUCGAGGGGAAGCAAACGUGUGCCCAUCCAUCCUCUGCGUGCUGCCGGGCAUGCUUCUUUCAGCUCAGAUUCUGCUCUUCAUUUUUGCAAAAUAUUCCAAAAAGAUCACAAAACCGCGACAAAUCACCUGCAAAGAAACAAAGCAAAAGCUUAGGUACAUAAGCUGGGAAAUCUUCAGGGUGACAACAUACACAAGUGUCCCCCCUCAAGUUGUUAGAGACCAGGGGCCUUCUAAAUUCUACCACCUCUGUUUCUAAACUGCCAAAACGUCUUGCACUUAGAAACAGAGGGUGCCUAAUGUGAAUGUUAAUAGCCCCUUGAUAUAAUGGAUCAUGCUCAAAACUCCAUAGUUAACUUUAGUAGAAACAACUACUAAUGCUCCCAACAUACAUCACCAACCAACAUCUCUUUAAUCUGAUGCUUAACUAACCCCAACUUUAGUAAAACAGCUACUCCCAACCAACAUCUCUUCAAUCUGAUGCUUAACUAACCCCCAACGUUUCUUAAAAAAAGCAACAGAAAAAUCAUCCAGCCCUGGUGUUAAACUGGUUUUCAAACUCCUUAUAACAUGUCAAUCUCAUAUAAUGAACGAGGUUGGAGCAGUAAAUCCUAAAUAGUUGAAUAGGAGAUCCCCACUAAUCUAUUUCUCUCAACAUGCAAACAUGCAUGUGAAAAGAUUUUCCAUUCUUCUAUGCUACUUGUGUCCAAUAAAUAUUUUACAAAACUAUACAAUAAUCAAAUACAAUAAAUCAUUUGUAUUUUCAGUUUUGAUACUGAUAUUAUUAAGCCAAAUACUCAUGUUACAAUCAAACAUCGUUGAAACAUAUUGCAACCAGUAUCCGCAUCAAUGUGCGGGGUAUCAUCCAGUUAUUAUCAAUGUGAGACACAAUUUGCACAGGCAGCCAGGCUCCUCUUUUUUCUUAGUUUAAGCACUCAUUUCCUGUGAUAUCUUCACCUUCCGUGCAACAAUGAAUGAGUUGAACACCUCAUCGCCUGCAGGGUGGUGCACGGCCAGCACUUGGAACCCGCCACGCCCGAUAUCGUCCAGCUCCACUACAGGAUACAGGAACGCUCGCGCCCCGUGGGCGCUUCGCGCGACGAGCACCGCCCCAUCUGCCAUGUGCUUCCCCAAGUGCGCGAUGGCGUCGGCCUUCUCCUCGGACGUCAUUCCCACGAGCGCCGCCAGGAAGACCACAUCAUACGCGCCGAGCUCAGCCGUGAGGUCCGCGACUUCGGCCGUGUGGAACGCCAUGCGCGCGCGCACGCCCUCGUCCGCCGCGCCGACCAGCUUCCUCGCCCGGCCAUUGGCCACGCUGCACCGGUCGUAGUUGUCGAACCGGGUGUCCGGCAGGUGGUACGUCGCGAGGAAGAGGGAGCUGAACGGCAGCGGUCCCGACCCGAUGAACGCCACGUGGGCCGGGGCUGCCACGUGACCGGACAGAAGAUCGUGCUCGAGCUUGCUCAGGUUGAUGUAGUUGUCAAAGUAAGGGAAGCGGCCGAGGUGGUCGAGCGGGUUGUCCAAGGCGGUGAGCAUGUCGGAGUAGUGCGCCUCGAGCAGCCCCUCGGCGGCCGAGCAGAGGCGGAUGAGGUCCUGCCGCAUCUCCUGUGCCUCCGGGCCGAGCUUGGUCACGUCCACCGGGCUCGACGGGACGCACGCCGCGACCAGCUCAGUGAAGAGCGCGUCGACUUCGGGGGACGGGCUUAGCGACGGGAGCUUGGAGAUGGCGGCGUGGAGGCCGGUGAUCUUCUCGACCAGAGCAGCCACCUCGCUGUUUUCGGCCUCCAUGUCACUUGACUGCCAAGUAGGUAUGGCUGGUGUUGUAGUGCUGUUCUGAAAAACAAAUGUAGGCUGUAGUGCUAUGAUGGAGCUGAUGCUUGAUAUAAUACGAAGGAAAAAAAAAUCAAUGGAAUUGCAAUUGAUUGAGCAGUUCGAUGAGCUGUGGAGAGUGAGGGGUGGUAUGUAGCAUGGAAAUCGUAUGCGUGGCGCGCUUCAUGCUUGCACAGACGUGACGGCCUGCUUCGUGCCUCUAAUUUCCGACAUGCGGCAUUGCAUCUUGCUGACCAGCUCAUGAUUUGGUAGCUAGCUUGACGAUAUACUAAAUUUGGAAUGAGGGGAUAGGUGGGUAAAUUUAGUCUCUGGCAUGUGCCUACGAGCCAACCUCUGUUGAAUAUUCACUCGGAUCUGAAGAAAAAUGGCAGAAUAGAGUUGUUCUUUACUAAGAUCUACCUAAGUUGAAUGUGAUUUUCUUUUGUCUAAAUCAGUAGAUCUAAGCUUAGUCUCUAUGUAAAUCUCAGUAUAGAGACAGUGGACGGUGGGAAACCGACUGAGCUGGCGAUGCGGGCACAGAAAAAGCUUCAGUACCACUGGCCUUACCCGUAGCAGCCGGCCGGCCGGCGUCCGCUCCCGCUCCACCGCGAGGCCCCCUUCAGCCUUCCGCGGCCUGACGAGUCUCUCUCCGUCGUGGAGGGGAGGCCGGCGACGUUCCCGGGCCCCCGAAGCGGAGGAGGGCACCGGCUGCGUCCCGGCGGGAACGGGAUGACGCUGCCGUCUGCAGCGGGGCAGCGAUGGCGAGGAUGACGGUGCAGGGAGGCGGCCGGAGCUCCCUCGCGCUGCAGGUGGUGGCCGGAGUUCAGAUCGGGAAGGCUUCUUUGGCUGGAGACUGGAGAGAGGAAUCGGGGAGAGGAGAAACCGAGCUUGACGACAGGCGCAUCGUGUAUGUUUUUUCUUUUGAUUGAGGGAAUAUUAUUAUUCCGGGAGUUGGGCUGGAUUAUUCUAGAAAGGAGUUGGGCUGGAUGGGCUACGCUAUGGUUUGCCACAGCCAGCAGCAGCCCGCACAAUUCUCAAAAUUCUCAACAAAAAUAAAGCAGCCGGCACAAUUUUGCCAAUAUGCAUGCUAUGAGUCUGUGUAAGUGGCAUAGAGGAGUGAAUUGCAUAAAACCACGAUUUUGGGGGCUAGGUUUGCGAAAAACACUAGGAUACAGUUUCUCUGCAGAAAACACCACAUUUUGCGUAAUGGUUUUGCAAAAACCACUGAUCGGCGGAUUUGGCUGCGAUAAGUGAGUUUAUUGACAGGUGGGGCCUUUUUUUGCCUACAUGGCGUAACUUUUUUGCCAGAUGGGUUUUAAUCUAAAAUUACAAACUAGACCCUAGAAUUUUACAUAAACACACCUAAAUCAAAAAUGAAAAAUGCAAUUAGCCCCCUCUUCUCGUUCUGCAGCAGAUCGGCGGCGCGUUGUCCGACUUGUCGUCGGCGGAACCGCGCCGGCGACGCCAUCGCCCCGAACAGGCGGUCCUUCUCGCAGCAGCUCGACGAGGUCAGCGAGAGGCUCCUGCUCGGCCUCCGCGAGGCGGUGGCAGCACCCGACGGUGGCAGCGCCAUGGACAACGACGAGUCCCCGGGGGUCGGCGAGGCGGCUUCUCUGCGGCCAUGGAAGGCGCGCACCCGACGACGACGCCGCGCCUUGAUGUCGUCCCCCGCGCCCGUCGCGAGCCCUUCGCCCCAGGCGUCGGAGCGCAAGCGGAGGCUGGUCCGUGCCGACGCGCUCGACGGGGCAUGGUUCUCCGCGACGCUCUUUGCCGAGGAGAUCGAGGAGGACGUGUACGCCCGCGCCAUGCAGAAGCAGCUUGAUGUGGACUCGAUGUCCCCGGCGCCCGGGGGGGCACGGGCUUAUGCAUCUCACGGCAUGGACGGUGGUGCCCGGCGAGGUAGGCAUGCGAGCGCCGAGAUCGCUGGAUCCGGCCCGAAUACAGGACGAGGUCAAAAUCCCCUCUGCCUCGUCCGGGGUCGGGAUGGGGGCGGAGAGAAAUUUGGGGGACUUUUUCGCAUUAAACCUAAACUGUUAUGCCACUUAAGUAGAAAACGGACCCCAUCUGCCAUAAGCGCACUUAAACGAGCCAAUUGUGCCCAUAAGUGGUUUUUGCAAAACCAUUACGCAAGAUGUGGUGUUUUCUACAUAGAAACUGUAUCCUAAUGUUUUUCGCAAACAUAGCCCCUAAAGUCGUGGUUUUAUGCAAUUUACUCGGCAUGGAGAGGCCGCACGCGUACCUCAGAAGAGAGAUUAAUUUAGUCGGCGGUGGAAAAAGCAGAACAAGGAUUAUCACUCAUCACUUAAACUCAAUCUAACGGUUACAAUCGGUCGAUUGGGGUCUCUGUAAUUCACAAUCACACACCGAGAACCAUCAAAGCCCCAAGAAUGAUUGAAGAAUAUUGUUUUCUAGUAACAGGAUAAUCUUGUUGUCCUGUCUUUGUAGCUACACCAACCCCGUCCGCGUCUUCGUCAAGCAUUAACUAAUUUAUCAACCAAACGUGGCAGAUGGAUCAAUUUGUUGUCCAUUUCAACAAGUUAUGAGGGUGGACAUGGUCAUGUGCACUGCAGUGCAGUGCAGUGAUGAAGAGGAUAAGGGACGACGAAAAUUCUUCGCAAGAGGCGUGCAUGGGCACUCCCCAUGUGCAAUCAUGAAGAGGUUGCAUGACAGGCGAAGCUUCUUCCGGCCAGCCGCCGCGCUCCAGAAUUCAACGGCCAAGACUAGCGCACGCUUAAAUUGUUCCAUAAAAUGGCGGCACUCGGCGCCUCGGGUCAUUCAUCCAACCAUGUCCACGCUGAGAGCGCGGUGUGCGACGGCCGUCCUGGCCGUCGUCCUGGCGGCGGCCGCGGUCACGCCGGCCACGGCCGAGCAGUGCGGCUCGCAAGCCGGCGGCGCCAAGUGCGCCGACUGCCUGUGCUGCAGCCAGUUCGGGUUCUGCGGCACCACCUCCGACUACUGCGGCCCCCGCUGCCAGAGCCAGUGCACUGGCUGCGGUGGCGGCGGCGGCGGGGUGGCCUCCAUCGUGUCCAGGGACCUCUUCGAGCGGUUCCUGCUCCAUCGCAACGACGCAGCGUGCCUGGCCCGCGGGUUCUACACGUACGACGCCUUCUUGGCCGCCGCCGGCGCGUUCCCGGCCUUCGGCACCACCGGAGACCUGGACACGCGGAAGCGGGAGGUGGCGGCCUUCUUCGGCCAGACCUCUCACGAGACCACCGGCGGGUGGCCCACCGCGCCCGACGGCCCCUUCUCAUGGGGCUACUGCUUCAAGCAGGAGCAGGGCUCGCCGCCGAGCUACUGCGACCAGAGCGCCGACUGGCCGUGCGCACCCGGCAAGCAGUACUAUGGCCGCGGCCCCAUCCAGCUCACCCAGUAAGCACCCACAAACUCUCUUCAGCUCAUGUAGUUCUCUCCUAACUCAAAGCUUCUGAGUUUUAACGAAAAAUUACCAGCAUCUGUGACAGUGCCGUCAGCGUAAUUAGAUCAAUGAUAAAGUAUAUAUUUUCACUCACUUGAUAUGAUAUUGUUUGGAACUUUGGAUUGGUAAAAACAUAAAAAGUGUAGUGUCUUUGUUGGCCUGAUUGUUUCAUGCUGGAUUGAUUCAGCAACUACAACUACGGACCGGCGGGCCGCGCAAUCGGGGUGGACCUGCUGAACAAUCCGGACCUGGUGGCCACGGACCCGACAGUGGCGUUCAAGACGGCGAUAUGGUUCUGGAUGACGACGCAGUCCAACAAGCCGUCGUGCCAUGACGUGAUCACGGGGCUGUGGACUCCGACGGCCAGGGAUAGCGCAGCCGGACGGGUACCCGGGUAUGGUGUCAUCACCAACGUCAUCAACGGCGGGAUCGAAUGCGGCAUGGGGCAGAACGACAAGGUGGCGGAUCGGAUCGGGUUCUACAAGCGCUAUUGUGACAUCUUCGGCAUCGGCUACGGGAAUAACCUCGACUGCUACAACCAAUUGUCGUUCAACGUUGGGCUCGCGGCACAGUGAGAUGGUAAGACUAUGGGUCCUUGAUAUGCAUGUGUGGAUGUGAUCACACAUAAAUAAAUAAUCUUGGGAAGUACUUUAUGACCAAAUAAAUGGAUGACCAGACCUCCCACGUGUGUAAUGGUACAUUUACGUCGAUGAACGGAGAGGAAUCACCUUUAUUAAAAAAAAAGUUAUAGUAGUUUAUGCAGAAACGUCUGCAAACUAUAUGUCGCCUAAUGUCCAUACUCGCUUGUCUCAGUGGACAGUUAUUUCGUACCUCCUCCGCCCCAAAAUAAAAUAAGCGUCAACCUUUGGUUGGAUAAUUAGAGUGACAGUGAUAUUCCCAGCUCACUAGGGUUUAAGUCCUGGUGCUCACAUUAUUCGUGGAUUUAUUUUAGGAUUUUCGGUGAUGCGCUUUCAGUGGGAGGAGACGUUUCCGUCGACUACGAGGCGCCUACGGUGACUUUGUAAAUUUCAAGAUGAUAUGCCGACUCAGUCUCUCGAAGGUGCUCAUAGGGGUAAGGUGUGCGUGUGUAUGUUCAUAGGGAUGAGCGUAUGCGCAUAUGUAUGAGCGCUUGCGUUUGUACUAUGUUAAAAAACACUUAUUUGAGACGGCUGAAGUACUCUACUAAUUUUGCUAAUAAAUUGACGAGUGUUUAGAGCAGAAAUGAAUUUACUUGCCCAUUUCUUUACUUCAAACUAUUUGUUAUUUACGCUAGUCAGAUUUCAGUUAUGUGGUGGAAUUAUUAUAUUUGACAUGCAGGUUCCAAACUACUUUUUUUAACCGAGAAAGGGGGCAACAGUGCCAUAUAUUUCAACUCAUAGACAUAAUACAGAGUGAAAGUACAUAACCCUGUCGGGGAGAAAGAAGAAGAACUUGAAUUACAGGGCAUGGCCUAUACCCAUGGGCUAAGCAAAGAUAACCGGAAGAAGAUCUAAUCAGAAGGAUUAGAGCAACUUCAAUGUGGUUACCCAAACGGAAUUUGUCCGCUUUUAUCCGUUUGGGUCGGCCAAGCGGGCGUGCGCAUCCGCUUUUUGAUUUGGGUCGGCCGGUGCGUCCAACGGGUGGCAGACGCAUAUUUGCACGCGUAAAAAAAAACUUCAGAGACACGUGUCCGGAAAAAACUUCAGUAGAACUGGCUUUACCCGUAGCGUCUGCUCCCGCUCCACCGCCAGCCCUCUCCGACCAGGAGGGGGGGGGGGGCGCCGACGUUCCCGGGCCCCCGCAGUGGAGGAGGACACUGGCUGCGUUGUGGCUGGCCGGUGCGGCAGGAUGAUGUCGUUGUAUGCAGCGGGGCAGCGAAGGCAAUGAGCAUGCCGCGGGGAGGCGGUUGGAGCUCCCUCGCGGUGCAGGUGAUGGCCAAAGUUUAGAUGGGGGAUUGGAUCAGUUGCCCCACUUUUAUAUGGGGUUUGAUGAUUUGCCUCAGGUUUGUCUCAAUGGCUGGUGGCCCCGGUCCCAUCCGUCAAUCUCGGGGAGCAAAUAACUUAGAAGUAAAGUGGGGCAAUAGAUAUAACUAGUAAAAUGCCCGUGCAACGGGUUAGCAAAACUGUGACGUUCCAAUCAAGCAAUUGAGAACAUAUAAUGUAUAACCCACCUUAUUAAUCCAAAAUUAAAUAAAAUUGAGCGCUAGUUACACUUAUAUAAGAAUAUAAUACAUUUAGUUGAUGGAUUACAUGCGAGAAGCUUAGAGACCACAAUUUAUUCUAAAAAUCUUAGUUUAAAUUUAGCAAUUGAAACUUUCGUUAUUCAUCAUAGAGAUACAAACCGUGACUCUGUUUUUGUUUGGAAUUUUCAUUGUAGACACAACAAUAUAGAAUACUACUUAUAUAUAUGCAUCUGUGAAAUUUUUCAAGACAUUUUGUAGAGUUUUGAGCACCAAAAAAUUUAGAUUUAUGCUAAUCCUGAGAAGCUUAGAAGGAGUAGAGAAGAAAGAGAUAUUCCAACCAAUUUCUUUAUUUUUAUUUUCUUUCAACCCCUUCUUUUGCCACUGACCAGUGGGUCUCUUGGGUCAGUCCAGCACUCCAGCAGCGUCAGCUACUCAACUCCAAGGGACACGCGCCGGCAAGGGCCGCAGCAUCCUGCCCGGCUGUCUAUUCAUCUUUUCUCCUCCUCCACUCCUCACUCUUUUCCUCCCCCUGGAUCCCCUUUCUUGUCAAGCUCGCUGGGGACGCCCCCGCUUGCCGUUGCAACGCCAGCCAUUGGCCGCCAGCCGUCGGUCCGGAUCGACGCUCACGCUCACGCCUCCGGCUCCGACAUGCACGCCGAUUGGACGCCGCCGUGAACCACCUCGCUUCUCCGGUGCGCUCUUGCUCCUAGGUAGUUCCCUAGCUCGAUUGUUGCUCUUGCCGUCCCUUUAAUGGUGAUUCCUGGCUCCGGCGUGCAGGUACGUCUUGAACCAAGGUCGCCUUUCUCGGUUCCGUCGGCGCUGUUGCGACGCCGCCGCGGUCAUCCUCCUCCCCGAGCAGCUCUAGGGGCCGUGACGGGCUCCGCGUCGUCCGCGUCUCCUCUGGACCACGGACUCGAAGCCGUGGGCCCCUCCUACUUCUUCCUCGACCGCUGACCGCCAUUGACGCCGUCCGAAACUUGCUGCCACGAACAGCAAGGUGAGGCCGUGAGGAGUCAUCUCUGCCUGUUGCUGCUGCUCGCUGUUGGCUUGCUUUGCUGCUUGUUGUUGUUGCCGCUGCUGACUGCUUGAUGCUGCUGGUUGUUUUGCUUACCGAUGCUGCUUGCUUUUGUUGCUUGCUGCUGCUGGCCUUGAGCUGCGGGUAAAUGAGAGAAAGAAAGGAAGUUUUACAUUUGUAUAGGGAGAUGGUCGUAUUUAGAUUCAUUUAGAAAUGGCCAUGUUUCAGUACCGUUUAAUUUACUUGUUCGUCGUAAAGUCAGACUAAGCCUAGUCUUUCCUGUGCAUAAAAGUUUCAGAAAAAUGCUCAACCUGCUGAACUUGGAAAAUCCAUAAAAAAUCAUUCCAGUUUCUGUUUGGAGCAGUACUGAUAUGGAGUUGGCUGGUUUAAAUUGUACUGUAGCAAUGGAAAAUAUGAACAUGGUCAAUAUUAUUGCUUGGAAGUAAAAGAUCAUGUACUCCUUUAACAACACGUCUUUAGAUCUGGUAAAAAUUCACAACUUGCAUUAGAAAAUGUUGUUGUCAAUUUCAGUAUCUUCAUUUUCAUCUUACUGUAUGACAUCAUAUUCUUAGCUUUGUUUGACAUGGCUAGGAGUUGCUUGUUGUUCAUGAUCAGCGGGUCAUGGCAUUAACUUGGAUUAAUUAACAUGGAAACAAAUAAGUGAAUUGUGAGGGUCGUGGUGGGAGUGUUGGCUUCGAUGGGACGCGUUAGUCAUGGUCGGACAACCAUUGACUAAUCCCCUAUCGAGGCACUUCCCGGAAUUUGAACCCUGGUGGGUUGGGGAUAGCAGGGUCCACCUAACCAUCUCAACCACAUGUUGGUUCGCUCAGUCGCCCUUCUAUUAUUAGGUAGAGAGGUAGAGAUUUCUCGGGUUAAGAUCGGGAAGGCUUCUUUGGCUGGAGAGAGGAAAAAGGUGAAAGGAGAAACAAAGGCUCAUCGUGUAUGUUUUUUUAAGGCCGUAUGUUUUUUCUUUUGAUGGUAGUCAUUAUUCCAGGAGUUGGGCUGGAUCAUUUUAGAAAGGAGUUGGGCUGGAUGGGCGUGUCCAGCAAGUUCUUCUACAAAAAGAAAAUCUAAAAAAAACAGCUUUUCUUUUUUUUUUUGCCCGGAAAAAAUAAACACGACAGUGUGUACUCUAUUUUUUUCUGAUCAAAAAAUGUGCACCGUUUCUAUUAGAAAAGGACCAACACAUAGAAAAUUUAAUAAUCGCUUUGAAAAAAGGAAAUUUAAUAACCCAUAACAUAUAUGAGAAUCACUGAUGGAAUUUUUGGAUAAGGGUAUGAUCAGAUACCUGAUGAUUGUAUAAUUGUAGGUACGAGAAGGUCAUAUUUGGGUGCAGGGUGACAAUAUUUAUAUAUGCAUCUAAUGACUUAUAUCGCAAAAAAAAAAAAAUGCAUCUAAUGACUCGAGGCAGUUUGGACAUGUGCCUUAUGGUCUCGUACAAGGGAAGAUGUCCUAUCGGGUAUGUUGAGUAACUUUCUGUUCUGCUUCCCCGUUAGCUUAAUGAAAAGCCUGAUGAAGCUUUGGUGUGGUUCUGUACCCUGUCGUAAGAUUUACAUGUACAGUUUAAAAUUGCCCAAAUAAGAUUUCCCGUCCACUUUGGGAUCAGGUUUGUUUUUGUCAUUGUUAACUAGUGAUGCUCUUGAACUUAAUUUUUUUAGUAACCGAUUUAAAACUGAAACUGACAUGUUAUAUCUUUAUUACAUGCUGUGAAUAUUAGGGCAAGUAAUGGAGAAAUUCACUUUGGCUCAUAGGUGUAGAUGAACCCAUUUUCUAAAUACGAAUUUUAUAAAGUAAAAAAACAUCAAAUAAAAAAAUCCCGUGUGUAUAUCCGGACAUUAUGUUCGUGCACAAAGUUUCGGUGAAAAAGGAAAAAUUUUGUGGCUUGUGUAAGAAAGAAUUUUUUUUAUGCUUGAUUAUAACUAUUCAGGAGACAUUUUUUUUAAUCUUUUUUAUACAUGCCACAAAAAAUGUUUUUUCUUUGUGACAUUUUGUGUGCGAGCAUAGAAUGUCCGGAAUGUACACGCGAAAUUGUUGUUCGGAAUUUUUAAUAUUUUAAAAUGUGUUUUUUAUAUAUUUCAAAAUAGAUGUAUCUACACCUAUGAGCCAAAACUCCACUCUCCAAGUAAUGAGAAUAUUCCAAGUUUAAUUUCAAGUGCUUCGGCGUCCUUCCAUUUCAUAAUUCUUAUCGUGGUUUUAGAUCAAAUUCAAACUAAAACCACGAACGUCGGAGUAGUGCUUACUAGAGUAGCAACAGACUCAAGUUACGGUUGGAGCAGUUCCUCACUGCCUGCAGAAAUAAACUUUUUCAGUCCAGGCAGGCAGGCAUCCUCAGAGGAACGCAAGAACUUUCUUUAGGCUUUACAACGGUAGCCAAUCUUUGGCACCAAACAAAUUAUGCUUCAAGCGAUACAUAUAUUCAGCCUGGCAGUCAGCAAGACUCCGAUGACGCGACACUGACUGACACUCAGACAAAACAUCUUAGGACUUCAGACUUACACUCUCCUCUUUUUCUUCAGAAUUCAACCACGCGCAGAUAGAUGAAACGCAAAAGCUUCUUCAGGCGUGAAGCUUGUUGUUAAUGGAACGGCGUGUCAGUGAUAGGAUCCGAGUUGGAUGAAAGGCAGGCUAGGUAAUCGCGGCUUUCAGUGCUUACAUCUCACCGUAAAUUUGAAACGCGGAAGAGUGUUUCAGACUAAAUUAUCAUCUUCUUCAGACUAGACAGAACAUUUUCUCGCUGCCACUUCUUCGUGCAGAAAUAUACUUUGUACCGAAAUACUUGUAGCUGGGGUCUCCAACUAUAGCCGACCUGGAUGCAAAUUCAAUUCAGAAGGCGCUCACAUACAGCACACAAAAACUUUCUUCAGACUAACACUCUGAAUUUGAUCAAUUAUCUCCAAAUUUGAUCAGAGGCAGUUCGAAAGCAUCAGAAAAGAAGGCAAUGUAUUUUUUCAGACUUAAAAACUCCUGUUUUUUUCUUGAGAAUUCGACCAUACAGGGAACAAACUCCCUCAGUUCUCACAUCUCAUACAUCGCCAAAAGACACAUAGUGACACUGAUAUUUGACCCGAGAGUCAAACAAGAAGGACACUGACACUACCGGACUAACUUCACCUUGACACGCAGCGACCACUAGGACUCACUCUCACUCACCAUGGACAGACACUGCUCAUCUUCUUCUCCUCCUGAUUGGAAUGAACUGAAAUUCUUCAGUCGACCUCCUCCAUCUUGCUCUCCUCGGCGCCCUCCUCCUCCAGCGCGGGCAUGUCAGCAUCCUCCUCCUCCGCAUCGGCCUGAUCAUCGAUGUUGAGCCCGAGCUUGAGCAUGCGGUGGAUCCUGGCGGCGAAGGUGUUGGGGUCGUCGAGGCUGAACCCGGAGGUGAGCAGCGCCGUCUCGAAGAGCAGCAUCACGAGGUCCUUGACGCUCUUGUCGUUCUUGUCGGCGUCGGCGCGCUUGCGGAGCUCCUCCAUGAUGCCGUUCUCCGGGUUGAUCUCCAUGGUCUUUUUGGAGGACAUGUAUGCGCCCAUGCUGCUGUCCCUCAGCGCCUGCGCCUUCAUGAUCCGCUCCAUGUUGGCCGUCCACCCGUACUCGCCGGUCACCAGGCAGCACGGCGAGUCCACGAUGCGGUCCGAGACGACGACUUUCUCCACCUUGUCGCCGAGGAUGUCCUUGAUGGUCUUGCAGAGUCCCUCGAAGGCGGCCUUCUUCUCUUCCUUGCGCUUCUUUUCUUCUUCAGUUUCUUCGUCGAGCUUGAGCCCCUCCUUGGUGGCGGAGACGAGCUUCUUGCCGUCGUACUCCUUGAGCUGCCCGACGGCGUACUCGUCGAUGGCGUCCACCAUGAAGAGCACCUCGUAGCCGCGCUUCUUGAGGCGCUCGAGGAAGGGCGAGUUCUCGACGGCCUUGCGGCUCUCGCCGGUGAUGUAGUAGAUGUCCUUCUGGCCCUCCUUCAUCCGGGUGACGUAGUCCUUGAGGCUGGUGAGGUCGUCGCCGCUCUUGGUGGAGUGGUAGCGGAGGAGGUCGGCGAGCUUGGCGCGGUUCUGCGAGUCCUCGUGCACGCCCAGCUUGAGGUUCUUGGAGAAGGCCUCGUAGAACUUGGCGUAGUCCUCUUUAUUCUCGGCGAUCUCGAAGAAGAGCUCGAUGCACUUCUUGACGAGGUUCUUGCGGAUGACCUUGAGGAUCUUGUUCUGCUGCAGCGUCUCCCGGGAGAUGUUGAGGGGGAGGUCGUCCGAGUCGACGACGCCCUUGACGAAGCCCAGCCACUCCGGGAUGAGCUCCUCGCAGUUGUCCAUGAUGAAGACGCGGCGCACGUAGAGCUUGAUGUUGUUCAUCUUCUUGCGGGUGUCGAAGAG
rnacentral:lncRNA from 1 species